UGUCACCAUGGCCUGGACCCCUCUCCUGCUCCCCCUCCUCACUCUCUGCACAGGUUCUGUGGCCUCUCAGCUGACUCAGGUGCCUGCAGUGUCUGUGGCCUUGGGACAGACGGCCAGCAUCACCUGCCAGGGAGGCAGCUUAAGUAGUUACUAUGCAAACUGGUACCAGCAGAAGCCAGGCCAGGCCCCCGUGCUGGUCAUCUAUGAUAACAACAACCGGCCCUCAGGGAUCCCUGAGCGAUUCUCUGGCUCCAGAUCAGGGACCACGGCCACCCUGACCAUCAGCGGGGCCCAGGCUGGGGACGAGGCUGACUAUUACUGCGGCUCAUAUGCAGGAAGUGACACUUGCCACAGUGGUCCAAGUUCACGGGGAAGUGAGACCAAAACCCCCUGUGAGCUCACUCAGGCACCUCACUACUAAUCUAAGGGUCUCAUUUGCUUUAUUCUUUGACAUCAUUUUAAUCUGAAAUAACUACAUGUUU